AUGCUUGUUUCGGCAGCACAUAUACUAAAAUUGGAACAAUACAGAGAUUAGCUUGGCCCCUGCACAGGGAUGACAUGCAAAUUCGUGAAGGGUUCCAUAUUUUU